rnacentral:rRNA from 1 species
GACGAACGCUGGCGGCGUGCCUAAUACAUGCAAGUAGAACGCUGAAGGAGGAGCUUGCUUCUCUGGAUGAGUUGCGAACGGGUGAGUAACGCGUAGGUAACCUGCCUGGUAGCGGGGGAUAACUAUUGGAAACGAUAGCUAAUACCGCAUAAGAGUAGAUGUUGCAUGACAUUUGCUUAAAAGGUGCAAUUGCAUCACUACCAGAUGGACCUGCGUUGUAUUAGCUAGUUGGUGGGGUAACGGCUCACCAAGGCGACGAUACAUAGCCGACCUGAGAGGGUGAUCGGCCACACUGGGACUGGGACACGGCCCAGACUCCUACGGGAGGCAGCAGUAGGGAAUCUUCGGCAAUGGACGGAAGUCUGACCGAGCAACGCCGCGUGAGUGAAGAAGGUUUUCGGAUCGUAAAGCUCUGUUGUAAGAGAAGAACGAGUGUGAGAGUGGAAAGUUCACACUGUGACGGUAUCUUACCAGAAAGGGACGGCUAACUACGUG